rnacentral:tRNA from 1 species
UAUAAUUUGGUGUAGAUUGCACAUUUAAUUUUGAAUUAUUAGGAAUGAUUUAAUUCAUAAAUUAUAA